AAUCCACUUUGAUCACCCUCCAUACAAUGGACAGCAGGAGAUGCAAAUGCCAGUGGUGUGGGAUGAAGAUAGCAGCUCCCAUUGGAGCACAAACAGCUACCUGUCCGAGGUGCCAAUCUGUGACACAACUCCAACCUGCAAGAAACCAUGGCUUUGCUAAUUUUCCCACUGCCAAUAACAAUAUGAGCCCAGCUUUUCCAUCAAGGCCAGGAAGGAUGUGUGCAAAUGCUAAUAAUUUUCAGCCUCAACAAUUCAACCGCCCUAUGUCACCACAGAUCAAUAAUAUCCGACCUCCUGCAGUACAUGGACGAAAAAGAGCGGUUCUGUGCGGAAUCACUUACCGUGGCCAUCCAAAGAGUCUGAAGGGAAGCAUUAAUGAUGUUUUAUCCAUGAGAUAUUUUCUGGUUGAGAAGUUGGGAUUCCCAAAUGCAUCAGUACUUGUCCUUACGGAGGA
rnacentral:misc_RNA from 1 species